rnacentral:rRNA from 1 species
GAUGAACGCUGGCGGCGUGCCUAAUACAUGCAAGUCGAGCGUACGGACGAGAAGCUUGCUUCUCUGAUGUUAGCGGCGGACGGGUGAGUAACCCGUGGAUAACCUACCUAUAAGACUGGGAUAACUUCGGGAAACCGGAGCUAAUACCGGAUAAUAUUUUGAACCGCAUGGUUCAAAAGUGAAAGACGGUCUUGCUGUCACUUAUAGAUGGAUCCGCGCUGCAUUAGCUAGUUGGUAAGGUAACGGCUUACCAAGGCAACGAUGCAUAGCCGACCUGAGAGGGUGAUCGGCCACACUGGAACUGAGACACGGUCCAGACUCCUACGGGAGGCAGCAGUAGGGAAUCUUCCGCAAUGGGCGAAAGCCUGACGGAGCAACGCCGCGUGAGUGAUGAAGGUCUUCGGAUCGUAAAACUCUGUUAUUAGGGAAGAACAUAUGUGUAAGUAACUGUGCACAUCUUGACGGUACCUAAUCAGAAAGCCACGGCUAACUACGUG